GAGAGAAUGGAAAGCGGCGGACGGGUGAGUAACGCGUAGGCAACCUGCCCUGUACAGAGGGAUAGCCUCGGGAAACCGGGAUUAAGACCUCAUGAUGCGAUCAGUUCACAUGGACAGAUCGUCAAAGAUUUAUCGGUAUGGGAUGGGCCUGCGCCUGAUUAGUUAGUUGGUGAGGUAACGGCUCACCAAGGCAGCGAUCAGUAGCCGACCUGAGAGGGUUAUCGGCCACAUUGGAACUGAGACACGGUCCAAACUCCUACGGGAGGCAGCAGUGGGGAAUCUUGCACAAUGGGCGAAAGCCUGAUGCAGCAACGCCGCGUGAGCGAUGAAGGCCUUUGGGUCGUAAAGCUCUGUCCUUGGGGAAGAAAGAAAUGACGGUACCCUUGGAGGAAGCCCCGGCUAACUACGUGCCAGCAGCCGCGGUAAUACGUAGGGGGCAAGCGUUAUCCGGAAUUAUUGGGCGUAAAGAGUGCGUAGGUGGUUUUGUAAGCGUGGGGUAAAAGGCUAUGGCUCAACCAUAGUAAGCCUUGCGAACUGCAGGACUUGAGUGCAGGAGAGGA
rnacentral:rRNA from 1 species